AUACGGAGGACGCGAGCGUUAUCCGGAUUCAUUGGGUUUAAAGGGUGCGCAGGCGGCCGUGCAAGUCAGCGGUGAAAGCCCGGGGCUCAACCCCGGAAGUGCCGUUGAUACUGCAUGGCUGGAAUGCGGUCGAGGCGGGCGGAACGGGGCGUGUAGCGGUGAAAAGCGUAGAUAUUGCACAGAACGCCGAUAGCGGAGGCAGCUCGCCAGGCCUGCAUUGACGCUCGGGCACGAAAGCGUGGGGAUCGAACAGGAUUAGAUACCCUGGUAGUCCACGCCGUAAACGAUGGGCGCUCGUCGUCGGCGGCAGACAGUCGGCGGCCAAGCGAAAGCGAUAAGCGCCCCACCUGGGGAGUACGGUCGCAAGGCUGAAACUCAAAUGAAUUGACGGGG
rnacentral:rRNA from 1 species